rnacentral:misc_RNA from 1 species
AACGGUCUAUACCUGCGGUACCUGCGGAGGGAUCAUCGUUGAAUAUUUAUUUGACAGAAGAGUAGUUUGAGAGGGGGAGGGAGGGGGGGUUUGGAAGCUCUGAAUUCCGUUUCCUGAACUUUGAUGGCUACCUUCUGGACAAAAACAACACAACCAAUCUACAUGACUAGGAAAGAGCAUACGCUGGUUUGGCACUGGUUUGUGGGGGGGAAAGAUACACACAAGUUCUUGUCUGACAAG